GGGAACAGUGUCUCUGGUGUCCAUCUGAAGCUCCCAAACGAUGGGGUCUCAUCGUUCCAGGUCUGGAGGAAAAAAACCUGUCCCACAUGAUGGAAGAAAACGUCUAGAGCACAGAUUUGAGCCUAGACAAAUGAGAGGAGCCACCACUAACUCCAGUGAGGACAGUGCUAGAAGUGAGGGAAUAAAACUUCCAGUGUUCACUGAUGAAGAAUUAAAAUUUCAUACAAGCUCUAGAGAAACACCGCCUGACUUUUAGAACUGCAGGAGAAGAUCCAGAGCACAACUGUGAGGAGCAGGUGCUGAACCUUUGGAACCUCUUUGCUUCAGUACUGGAAGAACUGAAGCAAAAAAAAGGGAAUUCUUUCACUUUCAUGUACAAUUUUCAUGUAGUGGUAGCAGAACAAAUAAAAAAAACAUAACAGAAAACAGAGAAUCUGCUAACAGAUUUCUGUAUAGCGACUUAUUUCCUAAAGGUAUGAAUUAGGAUUUUAUGAUAAAACAGUUUCUUUAGGGAAUUUGGAGAAUUUUUUUCCUCUGUUUGUAUUUUUGAACAAAAGUAUUUUUUUUUAUAUAAAAUUGAUAAUUAACUGUGUUAAUGAAUUUUAAAAGGACUUUAAAGACGUUUUAGGUGGAAGUGGAUCUUCUGUGAAAUUGAGCCUUCAGCCUCUCAUUGGCUGAUUAUUAUGUGGCCUUCAGUACUUGGAGUGUCCUCAUUGGUUGUUUUGUAAUCGAGUGUGUUUUUAAAACUGGAAUGUUAUUAACUCUUGUCGUUUAACCCUGAUGAAGGCCUGAGUGCCGAAACACGUUGAUUUUUACUUUUUUUACCAGAAUUUUUUUAUCGACAAGUGCUGCCGUUUAUUUUUACUAUAUUUGUAUAGCGACUUUGCCACAACAUUAUCACUGUUUAACUUGAUUUUAAAUUAAAUUUGAAAUGAAAUAACAUUUGGUGACCUGAGCACGGCUUAAGUGUCAAGACUUUGGACUUAAUUGUUAUUUGCUAAUUAGUGAAUUGUUUCCACCACUGGUGUGUAGAUUUAUGAAAUGUUAUUCUGAAUAUAAUAAACUCAAUCACUGGUAUGAUUAUCCAGAGAGCUAAAGGACUAUGUUUAAUCAGUGUUCAUCUUUUUGUCAGUGAUGCAUUAAAACAACGUUAAUCUACAUUUAAAAUUUUACUGUUUUCACCAGCAAUGUACCUGUAAUACCUACCUGUAAUUCUUAUCUUAAUUAUAUGUAUGUAUUCAAGAAUGGUAAUAUUCUGGGGGAAGGCUCGGGUGGGAGGCUAUAGGGCCCACAGUUUAUUCUGGUGGGGGUUUUAGUCUCAAAUAUUUAUCUGAUAUUUAUAUUUAUAUUUUAUUACUGAUGUUAGUCUGGUGUUUUUUCUUUUAAUUUCUUUUAAAUUUCCUUUAUUUAAUCUUUUUGUAUUUUUUUACUGUGUAUAAAUAAAUAUUAGCGUUUGAAAAGA